AAUGAACGCUGGCGGCGCGCCUAAUACAUGCAAGUCGAGCGAGAAGACGUAGCAAUACGUUUGUAAAGCGGCGAACGGGUGAGGAAUACAUGGGUAACCUACCCUCGAGUGGGGAAUAACUAGCCGAAAGGUUAGCUAAUACCGCGUACGCUCCUUGGACUUCGGUUCAGGGAGGAAAGCGAUACCGUGGGUAUCGCGCUCUUGGUUGGGCUCAUGUCCUAUCAGCUUGUUGGUGAGGUAACGGCUCACCAAGGCUUCGACGGGUAGCUGGUCUGAGAGGACGAUCAGCCACACUGGCACUGCGACACGGGCCAGACUCCUACGGGAGGCAGCAGUAAGGAAUAUUGCGCAAUGGGUGAAAGCCUGACGCAGCGACGCCGCGUGGGGGA
rnacentral:rRNA from 1 species